UGUCUCCUGGGGUGUUUGCCAGUCUAUUCAUGUCCCUGGCCGAUGCUAUUUAAAAAGGAAGUUGAUUCGUUGCUAUUGUGCAGGCUCGGCUCGUACCGAGAAGCCUACGGUGAUGAUGAUGCUUCCGCCCUGAACUUUUCGGUUCUAGGGCGAACAAUAGACAGCGGCACUUUGGGAGACGC
rfam:Alteromonas sp. JW12 Alteromonas_lipolytica_JW12_S21, whole genome shotgun sequence.